UACGUAGGGGGCAAGCGUUGUCCGGAUUUAUUGGGCGUAAAGAGCGUGUAGGCGGCCUGACAGGUCUGCUGUGAAAACUCGAGGCUCAACCUCGAGAUGUCGGCGGGAACCGUCUGGCUAGAGUCCGGAAGAGGAGAGUGGAAUUCCUGGUGUAGCGGUGAAAUGCGCAGAUAUCAGGAAGAACACCUAUGGCGAAGGCAGCUCUCUGGGACGGUACUGACGCUGAGACGCGAAAGCGUGGGGAGCGAACAGG
rnacentral:rRNA from 1 species